rnacentral:lncRNA from 1 species
UAGAUAUAGCAUAUUUUCUAAGCUCAGUUAAACUUAAUCAGAAGAUAUCAUUAAAGUCUCAAAACGAAGUUUGUCAUUUUGGUAAUCGCCAUCCCUCGUCUUUUCAGAAUGUUCAAGUGACUUGUAAAAUAAAUUGAAAACAAGAAGUUAAAUAAUUUCUUGCGUCCGAAGCGCUUUUCAGGAUUUAACUUCAUCAGGAACGCUCAAAGCCAAACAUUCGAAAUCCGAAGAUGUAUUAGUACUGAAAAUCGUUGAAGAACUAUAUGUCAAAUACCUAAAAAAGAUAGUCAAAUUCAUCUAAAGCCAACUUUUGCCUGAGGGAGUUGAAACCUUAGUUUCAUAAUAAUUUCAUAAUUUAUUAACGGACAAUUUUAUCAAAGUUUGUUAAAUCAUGUCAGUACCGAAAUACUGACUACUAAGUGGUGAUACCGGGGACUGAUAGUACACCAGCAGAGGUAUCAACCGGAUGGUCGAGAUCCCCAUCAAUAAACCAUAUACUUUCUCCAUUGACAUGUAUGUGUGUUAACAAAGCACAAGGAAUUCAUAGAUCAAUUUUUAUUCUUAUUACAAUACAAAGAAUUUAAAUUUUCAAAAAAGCAUGAAAUCUUAAUCUUUCAUUUAUUUAUUACUAUUCGUAUAUGUACGAAUUGGUUGUAAUCACCACCACUUAAACAUAUAUUUGCUUCUUUGUCAAGCCAACACUAUCUGAAGUAUAAAAUUUUGGAGUCGUGUUUGCAUAUAUUUAACAUAUUUUAUUCAUUUCAACUAUAAAUAUCUUCAAU